rnacentral:lncRNA from 1 species
UUCGAUGGUAUUUUUGAAAGAAAAAUAGGAAAUUGGGGGUAAAAAUAUAAGUAAGUAAAAUUGCGUCUCGUAGGGCUGCUCAGUUAAUAGCCCCAUUGAACCGGAACGUGCCACAUGGCAAAGCACGCUAACUCGGUGCCACGCGGGAGGCUACGCUGGCAAUACAGGUACCCGCGAUUAAACGGUCUAGAUGCGUUCUCGCGAGCGUGGACGGUCCGGAUCCAUUCCCUCCUUAGACAC